UUGCUUAGAGGCUAGUCAUGUGCUUAAAGUGAGAGGAGAGAGGGGGAUUAGGGAGUGAUUACUCUUUUCUCUUGAUUUCUUCAUCUUUAGUGGGUGGAUGAAGGGAGGAGGCUAGUCCUCAUCUUGUAUAGAAGAUGUUCUCGUGAUUUAGCUUUAUUUGUUGUCUCAAAUCGUGCUAAAUCUUUGAUUCCCGAGCGUUUUUCUUUUUCCCUAUUUUCGGAACUAUUUUUGGGGAUUUUUCGUUCAUCAUGUUUGAGCCCGAAUCUCGUGAGAUUGGUUGAAGGGAAAUGUUGCUAGGACCUUGGAGAGCAUUCGUGAUAUGAUCCCCUUUCAAAUCCCUCACGAAUCCGGCUUGAUUUUGAGUGUUUCCCAAAUCGCGUUCUUGAGUUAGGGUUUCAGUUUUCUCCAAAAUCCGUGAUGGAUACUUGAGCUUUUUGAGAUCUUUUUCAUGGAUCCAUUAGCCCUUGUGGUUGCGCAUCUAUGGCUCAAGUUUCGACUCGAUUCAUGGAGUAUUGAGGAUAGAUUUUUGAAUUGAAGUUCGAACCGAGUUCUCGGUGCCUUUUGUUUUCUUUCUGUUCUUCAGGUCGAGCAGCAGACGAGAGGUACGGGACAGCGCAUGCAAGUCUGCACCAGAGCAGCAGGCCAGCAAGUUGCGCAGCAGGCCGAGCAAGCCGUGCCGCAGGCCAGCUCGUUACCUGGGCCGGAUUGCAUCUGGUGGCCCAAGCUGCAGCAGCAGGUGCUCGCGGGCCAGGCUUUCAGCAAUUCCAGGCAAGCACCCGCAAGCCAUCGAGUGGCAGCAAGCCUGCCACUCACGCAAGGAGCAAACCAGGUACAGUGAGCUUAUUCUUCUGUUCUUUUAUUUAAGUCACGCACCUUGGUAGUUAGCUACUAAAUUAGUUUUAAAUCUUGCUAAUCAUGCCGAGCUAUUUAAAUUAAAUGUUUCUUCUUGCAUGCUUAGUUUAUUUAAUUAAUGGCUAAUCCUUCCAUGCCUACUUAAGUAAGUGAUUAAUAGUGUUCUUGUUUUGUCUCAUCCGUGCAAAUUUGAUAGAAUCAAUUCAUGCUAUAUUUCCGCUGUAAUUUGUGCGUCUCUUAUCGUUCCUAGGGUGAGCUAGUCACGAGUUGACUUGCGUCAUCUUGACGAUUGAACGCACCGUGUGCUUUGGGGUUGCGUUUGGGACAUAGGCCUUGUUUUCGUUGAGAAUUUUUUAUAGGCUCCCAUUCACCCCCCCUCUGGUCGCCCCUUCGGUCCUUCAAUUGGUAUCAGAGCCGGUUAAGGUUUCUCCAUACCCUAAUCGGUUUCAAAACCUAUUAUGGCGACCUCUGAGCGUUCUUCCUCGACCGCUGCACCCUACUUUGAUGGCUCUGAUUAUCGGUAUUGGAAAACUCGCAUGAGAGCCCAUCUAAAUAGUAGGGGAGCAGGGGUUUGGGAAAUCACUCAGGAUGUGACUUAUGUGAUUCCUGCUACUCGUGUGACUCAGGAUGAAAGGGAUAAGUAUCACGCCAACAGCAAGGCGGUUGAUAUUCUGUUUGCGAGUCUGAGUUGUGCUGAGUUCGAUCGAGUCGAAGAUCUCUCUCUUGCUCAUGAGAUUUGGUCUCGACUUCAGAGUUUCCACGAGGGAAACAGUCAGGUGAAGGCUAGACUCUUUGAGACUUAUAGGCGUGAGUAUGAGAACUUUGUUCAUUUGCCUGGUGAGUCUGCCGAUGCUUUGUUUCAAUGUUUCUUGGCUAUUGUGAACAAGAUGAAAGCAAAUAUCACCGUCUUACCCUACACUGAUCAUGAUAGAGCUUUAAAGCUCCUGCAUGCCUUGGAUCACGAAGUGUGGGGUACGAAGGUUGAUGCUAUCAUCGAGUCACCGAAUUAUGAAACACUUUCCAUUGAUGAACUCUUUGCCAAGUUGAAAUCCACGGAGUUUGACAAGAGGCUCCGAGCAAAACAAGGAGGCCCUACUAAUCCAAAUAGUAUGGCUCUCAUGUCAGGCUCUGGACAGCCUAAGUCUUUGAGUAACUCUUCUUCUAUGUCGUUUGCCUUGUCUUCUUUGGUUUCUGUUUCAGAGGAGCAGCUGGAGGUUCUUGAUGAUGAUGAGCUCACCUUGAUCACGAGGCGAUUCAUGCGCUUCAAUGACAACCGCAAGAACAAGCGAAGGAACAACAACAACUGCUUCGAUUGUGGCAAGCCAGGCCAUUUCGCCGCCGACUGCCCCGACAAGAACAAAACCAAGAGCAAGUACGACUACAACAAGCACAAGAACAAGGAUGGCACCAAGAAGAAGAAAAAGUACACCGACCGCGAGAAGAAGGAGUAUCGCAAGAAGGCCAAAGCACAUGCCUUCAUCGCCUCCCUCAGCGACGUCGACUCCGACACCGACGACUACACCGACUCAAGCUCAAGCGAGGAGGACGACGACCGCAAGGCAAAGAAGAAGGACGGCAAGAAUUUCAAUGGCCUCUGCUUCUACUCCGACAAGAACCGCGACGGGUACUGUGUCAUGGCUCUCAACUCUAAGAAGGAUGACAAGGAAAGUGACUCCGACACAGAAACUGAGGUAAAGUCUACUCCUGAACAACUUGCUCUAGAAGUAGAAGAACUUAAUGAUUGCCUAAUCAAUCAAGAUAAACUGCUUAAGAAGGCUGCUAAAGAGCGAGUUGAGCUUAAGGCUAAGUUAGAAAGUGCCUUGAUUGAGAUAGACAUGCUUAAAUCUGCUUCUACUGUUUCUGAUGUUGUUGAGUGUGAUGAAUGUGGUGUUCAUAUGGCUAGUCUUGCAUCUUUACAAUCUAAGCAUGCUUUGUUGGUAGAUGAAUUGGAUUUGACUAGGGCUGCUUUAGAUGAGAUCAAGAAUAGGCCUGUUUUGCUUCGUGCAUGCAAGUCUUGCCAUGUUUUGCAAGUUCAGUUGGAUGAUGCAUGUGCUAAGCUUAGUGCUUUAGAGAAGUCUGAGUUUAUUGCUAGAUCUAAACUUCCUGAAUGCACUGUUUAUCCUGAACUCAAGCUUAAUUUGCAACAUAUUGAGGAUGAAAACUCCUACUUGCGCACUGUUCUUAGUUGGGUGUUAAGUAGGGAACCUCAGCUAGGCAUGAUGAUUCAGGAGUUCAAAAGGGCUGAUGGUUUUGGGCUUGGAUCGGUUAUGAAGGGAUGUCUUUUUAAUGGGUUGCACAAGUUUUUUGAUGGGUUGUGUGAGAAGGUGGGUCCAAACAAUGGUGAGAGAAAGAAACGAAGCUACAAUCAGUGUGAGCCACCAAUUGACUACACCCCUCGAGAGUCACCCACUAAAAAUAGAGAGCAACCCAAUCCAGCUUGUGAGCAAAACUUGUCUGAGUGUGUGAGAAAUGGAAUUUUCAUUGAGACACCACCUAAAGCACCCAAGAAAGCCAUUUGGGUGGAAAAGCCAUACCACCUCAAGAACAAACUUGACACACUUCCAGAUAUUGCUCCUAAGAAACCUCCACCAAAACCCCAAGACAAGCCACAACCUAGAGUGAAUCCUCAGCCAAAACAGCCUGCUAGAUUCCACUGUAAGUAUUGCAAGAGAUGGGGUCAUCUUGAGGAGUUUUGCUUUCGCAAGAAGAAGGCUUGAGGCGUGAGCGUGAGUGGGGCAAUAGGGACAUGUACCACCCUUCUCAUGGUGUACAUGCGCCUAGAGCAGCUCCUCCACCUCGUCGUGUGGAUAGUGUGCGUUUUGCUCCUUCGCGUGUUUUUGCUAGGCAUGCUCCUCGCCAUGAUCAAUAUGACCCAGGACAAUAUGGUCGUGGCUUUGAGUCUCGGAGCUACAACGGACCACGUUUUCCCCCUAGCGUUGGCCGUAGUCCUCCUGUGAGACGAGAGAUGGUUGAUUUUGAUAACCCCACUCUUGAGCAAAUGGUUCGACACUGGUAUUCUACUUGUUUUUCUAACCCCAGUGUUGAGUCAUUUGCUCAUCCUUGGUCUCCCUUUGUUUGAGCAGGUCGGAGGCCUGGAGAACACGUGGCUUAUUGAUUCCGGUUGCUCUCGACACAUGACCGGUGAUCACAGAUGGUUCUCCAGCCUCACCCCGGUGAUGACCAAGGAGUACAUCACUUUCGGGGAUAAUAGCAAAGGUAAGGUGUUGUCUGAAGGUGUUAUCAAGGUGAGUGAGAAUUUCAUGCUCAAGCGAGUUGCUCUAGUUGAUUCUCUUGGUUUCAAUUUGCUCUCUGUCUCGCAACUGCUUGAUGAUGGUUUUGAGGUCCGUUUUAAGCAAGGGACCUCAAGGAUUUUAGACUCUCGAGGUGAUCUUGUGUGUAUGAUUGUCCCCGAGGGUCAAGUGUUCCGAGUUGAUUUUUCCAAGUCAUUUGGUCUCUCUCGGUGUUUAGUGGCUGGCUCAUCUUCUGAACUUUGGAAAUGGCAUAGGAGAUUGGGUCAUUUGAGUUUUGAUUUGCUUUCUCGCUUGAGUACUUUGGAUCUUAUUCGUGGUUUGCCCAAAUUAAAAUUUGAGAAAGAUCUUGUUUGUACUCCCUGUCGACAUGGGAAGAUGGUUGCUGCUUCCCAUCCACCUGUGAAUCAGGUGAUGACUGAACAUCCAGGCGAGCUGUUGCAUAUGGACACUGUUGGUCCAGCUCGUGUUUGUUCAGUCGGUGGGAAGUGGUAUGUGCUUGUGAUCGUUGAUGAUUUUUCGAGGUAUUCCUGGGUUUUCUUCAUGGAAUCUAAGGAUGAGGCAUUUUCUUUUGUUCGAGAUUUGAUCUUGAGGUUGAGAAACGAGCGACCAAAAGAUGCCAUGAGAGCUAUCCGCAGUGACAAUGGCACAGAAUUCAAGAACGCUCGUUUUAAAGCCUUUUGCAAUGAUCUUGGUCUUGAACACCAGUUUUCAUCGCCUUAUGUCCCUCCUCAGAAUGGUGUUGUUGAACGGAAGAAUCGGACCCUUUGUGAAAUGGCUAGGACGAUGCUUGAUGAGCAUAGGACUCCUAGAAAAUAUUGGGCCGAAGCCGUCAACACUGCUUGCUAUGUGUCCAAUCGAAUCUUUUUACGAGCUUUCCUGAAGAAAACUUCUUAUGAGCUGAUGCAUCGACGUUCCCCCAAAGUGAGUCAUCUGAGGGUGUUUGGCUGCAAGUGUUUCAUUCUCAAGCAAGGAAAUUUGGAUAAAUUUGAGUCUCGUUCUACGGAUGGGAUUUUUCUUGGUUAUGCUUCUCAUAGUCGUGCUUAUCGUGUGCUUAACCUUGAAACUAACCGGAUCGUGGAAACUUGUGAGAUUACAUUCGAUGAAACUAUGCCUUGCACAACUCCUGUCUUUGAAGUUGCAGGUGAACAUGAAAUGGGGCAAAGCAUAUUUGAGGAAGAGGAAGAGCGUGUAGAUGGUGGUGAGGAAGAGGAUGAUGAGAUUGACCGAGCUCCAGCUGUUGCACCUGUACCUUCUACUUCGACUACGAGAGUUGAUGGCCCUACCUCUACUUCCACUACUUCAAGCCAUCAACCAGUACCACUACAGGAUGAAGAAGAAGAAGAUCAGAGUGAUCCAGCUGUUGUUGAGGGGGAGGCGACUUCAGAGCGAGAGGCUCCACGGCACAUUCAGCGUCGUCAUCCUCCACAACAGAUGAUCGGUAACUUACAUGAACGCACCACUAGGCACAGCUCUAGGCAGAUUUCACACUUUGCACAUUCUGCAUUUGUUGCCUCUUUCGAACCCCGAGAUAUUGGACAUGCUCUAUCUGAUUCAAAUUGGGUUAAUGCCAUGCAUGAGGAGUUGGAGAACUUUGAGCGAAACAGGGUUUGGGUUUUAGUUGAACCACCUCCAAAUUGCCAUCCUAUAGGAACAAAAUGGGUUUUCAAAAACAAACAAGGUGAGGAUGGGUUGAUUGUGAGAAACAAAGCGAGGUUGGUUGCCCAAGGAUUUAGCCAAAAAGAGGGGAUAGAUUAUGAGGAAACCUUUGCCCCUGUUGCCCGUUUGGAAGCAAUUAGAAUCCUUCUAGCCUUCUCUGUGGCUAAAGGUUUUAAGCUCUUCCAAAUGGAUGUGAAAAGUGCCUUCCUAAAUGGUUUCAUAGAGGAGGAAGUGUAUGUGAAACAACCCCCUGGUUUUGAGAGUCCUAAAUAUCCUGAUCGUGUUUUCAAACUCCAGAAAGCUCUCUAUGGCCUAAAACAAGCACCCCGAGCAUGGUAUGCCAGAUUGAAAUCAUUUUUGCUUGGGAAUGGGUUUGAAAUGGGAUCAGUUGAUAAAACACUCUUUCUCCUCAGGCAAGGCAAUGACUUAUUGAUUAUUCAGAUAUACGUGGAUGAUAUUAUCUUUGGUGGUUCUUCUCAUGCGUUGGUUGCCAAGUUUGCAGAUGACAUGAGCAGGGAGUUCGAGAUGUCGAUGAUGGGUGAGUUGACCUUCUUCCUCGGGCUACAGAUCAAGCAAGGCAAGGAAGGAACCUUCGUGCACCAAGGGAAGUACACGAAGGACGUGUUGAGAAAGUUUGACAUGGCUGAUGCUAAGCCACUCUCCACACCCAUGGGUACGACGACGGCACUAGAUGCGGAUGAAGAUGGCGAACCGGUGGACCAGAAGGAGUACAGAAGCAUGAUCGGCUCCCUCUUGUACCUGACGGCGACGAGGCCGGACAUACACUUCGCCGUCUGUCUGUGCGCUCGUUUUCAGGCUUCACCGAGGACAUCUCACCGUCAAGCAGUGAAGAGGAUCAUGAGGUAUCUCCGUUUUACCCCUGAGUUCGGUUUGUGGUAUUCUGCCUCCUCGACACUCACGCUCCGGGGAUACUCCGAUGCGGACUUUGCUGGGUGUCGCUUGGAUCGCAAGUCUACCUCGGGUACUUGCCAGUUUCUCGGUUCGUCUUUGGUCUCUUGGUCUUCUCGCAAACAAUCUAGUGUUGCUCAGUCUACCACCGAAGCUGAGUAUGUUGCUGCUGCUAGCUGUUGUUCUCAGCUGCUUUGGAUGAUUUCCACUUUGAGAGACUUUGGUUUGGAUUUUACUCGUGUACCUCUUCUUUGUGACAGCACGAGUGCCAUUAGUGUAGCCAAGAACCCCGUUCUCCACUCAAAAACUAAACACAUUGAUGUGAGAUAUCAUUUUCUGAGAGAUCAUGUUGAGAAAGGGGAUAUUGACCUGGCUAUGUUGCGACCCAAAACCAACUCGCGGACAUUUUCACCAAACCCCUGGAUCAAGCCACUUUUGCUCAUUUGCGGGGGGAGUUGGGUGUUUGCUUUCCUUUUUGAGUUGGGUUUUUGGAGCUUCUCUUGUAUUAUACUUGUAUCAUUUUUUUAUAAAACAUGGUAGGAUAGCCACUUUUUCAUGAUAGCUUUGAGUUCUUCAUGUAUACCUUUUCAUGCUAUUUUUGUGAUAUACUGUGGUGGAUGAUACACAUGAACAUCAUAUCAUGCUUUACCUUAGUUCCAAUUUGGGUAUGGCAUGUUGUUCAUCUGUAUCAUUUUAGCUUAGUUUCCAUGCUUUUUGUAUCAUAUUGCAUUUUGUAUUAUGUUGCACUAGAUGAGCUUCUCCUAUAUAUCUUGUGGACUCCCUUAUGCUACUUGUGAGCUAGUGCUGUGGUUGGUGAUUUUGAUGCAAUGUGCACUUAUGCUUUUGAUGAUAUUGUACACUUGUUGAGAUAACUGUUUUUGAAAAUUCAAUACUAAAUUCUACUCUAUUAACUUGCUUAUCACCCAUGAGUAGAUGCUUGGUUAUGGUUUGCCCUUGGUUGAAUACUGGUUCCAUAUCUAGUUUAUGUUUGGAAUCCAUGUUCUUUUCAAUUGGGUCAAAGAUCUAGGUAUCAUUGCAAAUGUUUAGCCCAUGAUGCACCCCUUGGGGAAGCAUGGCUUCUUUGUGCUACAAAGGCACUUCAUGUAUUUUGCUUUGUGUGAAUACUGAAAAGAAAUAUGCUGAAAACUUCAUAAAUUCACCAAGUUUUUGUGCUUAAUGUGAUAUUAUUGCUUGCUUAGUUGUUACAAGAUGUCUACCAAAAGAAGUAGACACUUGGUUUCAACAAGCUUUAAACAUGACUUGGGAUGCAUAUGUGGGUGUUUGCAAUGAUCUCUUGUUGAGAAUGGACUUUCCUAGUAUGAGCUCUUGAUGGACUAGUCUAUUCUUGCUUGGGUGAUUCUUAACUAGGUGAAUGCUCAUGUGGUGAUCUUUUUAUACAUUGCUAAAACUUGAUGCUUGCUUCACCUCCACUGUUGUAACUUGAUAUCAUCUUGUUGGCGAUGCUAUUGUUUCUUAUGAUCUAUCACGCUUUAUCUCCCUAGUAGCCUUUGAGAGUGCAUUGUGAUAUAUUUGAGAAGCUUGUUAGGUUCUGCAUUUUCAUGGCAUGCACUUUGUCCUUUCAUGCUUUUCUUGAUGGUUGCAUUGUCAACAAGGGGGAGAGAAAUCUACACAAACUCUUUCAUCUAUCAAGGGGGAGACUUUGCAUGUAUGCAUGAUUUCAGGGGGAGUGCGUAUGUUCAGGGGGAGUAUUUAUGAGUUGUUAUACUCUUGUUAUGCUCUUAUGCCCUUGUACCGGUCGCGUUGAGCUGUUUACCUCUUCUUGAGGAGCCGGGUUUGGAUUUUCAUGUGAUUGGUGUUGAGCCCGUUUUCUGCCUCUUCUUGAGGGAUCACAUGAUUUUGUCUCAGUUGUGUAGAGCCGUUGCCCUUAUCUUAGGGGACUGAGAUUUUUCUAUUUUGAGUUUCUUAUUUUUCUGUUUCAAUACUAUGAAUUUGUGGGGUGUUGUCAAUGCACUCAUCAAGGGGGAGAUUGAGGACCAAUGGUGGUCACCCUUGGAUGAUGAGUGAUUGACAACGUUGUGUUGGUUUGAUGUUGCUCUUGGCUUGUGAUGUGCAGGUGUAGGAUGCGACGUGGCCGUCAACGGUGUGCGGUGAAGGUCAAGCGAAAGGUUCAUGCCGAUGGACCAAGGGCGGUGAAGGAUGAACGCGAGUAGGCUUGGACCGAUGGACCCGAGGAGUCCGGGCGAAGUCACGGGCGGUCCACAUGGUGCACGGAAUGGCAAGAGGGCAUGACAGGAUGAGACGGCGUCGGUCGAGUCAAGCGGGAGGCUUGGCGGAGGCCGGACACGCGUCAAUGGACGGUUUGGGUGGUUUGGGCCUCAAAACCACCGCGCAGGCAGGUUUCCCGGUUUGGGCCUCAAAACCGGGGGCGAGCCCGGUGCGGCCGGAGCUUCGAGAAGGAGGGCACGUGGCGUCAUCGCGAAGCUUGCGUCGAGGCAAAGCAAAGUCGUGAAGGCCGCGUGUCCGUCCGAUGCGCGGAUAAAAACUUGGACCAAAAUGCCCCUGCGUGGGUAGUUAUCUUAGUUGUAGCUGUAGGGGUAGUAUAGUCUUUCGUCCUGGACUAUAAAUAGGGAUGGGGGGCUGGUUAUUUCAGCACCUCUUGGCUAAGCAACUCAUUAUCUAUUUGCUUAGAGGCUAGUCAUGUGCUUAAAGUGAGAGGAGAGAGGGGGAUUAGGGAGUGAUUACUCUUUUCUCUUGAUUUCUUCAUCUUCAGUGGGUGGAUGAAGGGAGGAGGCUAGUCCUCAUCUUGUAUAGAAGAUGUUCUCAUGAUUUAGCUUUAUUUGUUGUCUCAAAUCGUGCUAAAUCUUUGAUUCCCGAGCGUUUUUCUUUUUCCCUAUUUUCGGAACUAUUUUUGGGGAAUUUUCGUUCAUCAUGGUUGAGCCCGAAUCUCGUGAGAUUGGUUGAAGGGAAAUGUUGCUAGGACCUAGGAGAGCAUCCGUGAUAUGAUCCCCUUUCAAAUCCCUCACGAAUCCGGCUUGAUUUUGAGUUUUUCCCAAAUCGCGUUCUUGAGUUAGGGUUUCGGUUUUCUCCAAAAUCCGUGAUGGAUACUUGAGCUUUUUGUGAUCUUUUCCAUGGAUCUAUUAGCCUUUAGGGUUGCGCAUCUGUGGCUCAAGUUUCGUCUCGAUUCAUGGAGAUUUGAAGGAGAAUUUCUCGUUUGAAGUUUCGGGUGUUCUUGUGUUUAUCUGGUCUGUUCUUUCUGUUCUUGCGUUCGUGCUUUUGUUCGUGCGCGCAGGCAACCAGGUGGAGCAGCAGCAGGCCAGCAGUCCAACGGUGGUGCUGCAAAGCUGCAGCUCGUGGCCCAUCGCUAGGCGGCCCACCAGCCACAGCCCAGCAGCGACACAGGCCCAGGCAGGCCAGCACCAGGCCGCGUGCGCUACGCAGGCCAGCACCUGGUGGUCCAGCUCGUGGCUUGCAGGCCCAGCUCGCAGCCCAGGGAGCUGCUUUACGCAAAGCAAGUCAAGCCCAGCUUCUCCUAACAAGCAGGUCACCAGGAGCUUUUCAUCUACACGAGACCAGUGAGCCAAUUCUUUUAUCUUUUGUUAAUUCCAUGC
rnacentral:lncRNA from 1 species